GGAAAUGUCCCGUAACUUCCGGUAGCUUGUAAUCAGGAAGUAAACAAGAGCAUGGCUCAGAGACGCUGUCUUCAUUAGUUUUGUAAUCCAGUGGAAUCUGCAUACAUCUUGUACCUUUUGAUAGCAUCGUUGUUUUACACUUUCCUAUGUCAAUAAACCUGUGGACAACGGACAAGGGUCUUCAGAGUCAUGAUGUCAGGAAGGAGUUUGUCUAACUGCCGAGGUGUAUAACAGCACAUAUACUGAGGGCAGCACACUUAUCAUUAGAGAGCCUGAGACGCUGCCAGCUGCUUGCAUGUUUGUUUGUACAUGUGUGUCUGCUCAGUCGAGCUUGUGUUCCUGGUACGUUCCAGCCAAGCGGUCAAUUUAGUAAUUAAUUAACCAAUGUAGCACUAAUUACUCCAAUGAAAUCUAACAUUUCUUCAAUGCUCACACACUGGUGUGUCCCACCCCUCUUUCCUCUGAGCGACACUCUGGCAUUGCUCUUGCUUCAUUCGUCUUCCUUUUUGUCUCUAACCUUGACGAGGACAGAAAGCGCUCCCGCCCGUGUCAUCACCGCCAUCAUCAUCCUAAUGAGAGUGGGAGUCUCUGCUUCAGGCUGCAUUGAUAUACCACAGGCAAACUGCUGACGGGAGAUGAGGCGCUACAUCAAUAGAGAUGGCAGCAUAAAUAAGAAAACAACACCCCCCCAGUCCAUAAACUGCAUACAUUUCAAUCUAUUUUCUUCAGAUGAAUAAACGCCGUGCUUAUGAUCAACAUA